AGCGAACGCCGGCGGCAGGCCUAAUACAUGCAAGUCGAGCGCCCCUUCGGGGGAGCGGCGGACGGGUGAGUAACGCGUGGGAACGUGCCCUUUGGUACGGAACAACUGAGGGAAACUUCAGCUAAUACCGUAUGUGCCCUUCGGGGGAAAGAUUUAUCGCCAUUGGAGAGGCCCGCGUUGGAUUAGGUAGUUGGUGGGGUAAAGGCCCACCAAGCCUACGAUCCAUAGCUGGUCUGAGAGGAUGAUCAGCCACACUGGGACUGAGACACGGCCCAGACUCCUACGGGAGGCAGCAGUAGGGAAUCUUGCGCAAUGGGCGAAAGCCUGACGCAGCCAUGCCGCGUGUAUGAUGAAGGUCUUAGGAUUGUAAAAUACUUUCACCGGGGAAGAUAAUGACGGUACCCGGAGAAGAAGCCCCGGCUAACUUCGUGCCAGCAGCCGCAGUAA
rnacentral:rRNA from 1 species